AAAUUUAUCUUAUAGCCAUAGUCCUUCUAUAUUGUGAAAUAUAGAGUUGCAUCGGGUGAAUUGCAAGAAAGUCUUCAUAUAAUUCUAUAUCCCCUUUCGAUUUAAAUUAUUUAAGAUAACUUGCAGCUAAGCUUAAGUCAGUGUAUAUUUCAUUAAUAGUGAAAUAGUGAUUUAAGAAAGUUCAACGACUAAUCGGUGAGUUACACUAACAAUAAACCGGACACGAGCGCCCGACAUCUAGAAAUAGAAUACUAGAUGAUGACAUAGUCUAAACUUGAUAGAAAUAUCAAG
rnacentral:ncRNA from 1 species